rnacentral:rRNA from 1 species
GACGAACGUUGGUGGUGUGUUUAACACACGCAAGUCGAAUGAAGUGGCGAACGGGUGAGUAAUACGUGGGUAACCUGCCCUCCUUUUUGGGAUAAGCCUUGGAAUCGGGGUCUAAUACCGAAUAAAGGGGGAUGGGCUCGCGGCCGAGCAGCUUGAUGGUGGGGUGAUGGCCUUCCAAGGCGGUGACGGGUGGCCGGGCUGAUAGGAGGGCCGGCCGCAUUGGGACUGAGAUACGGCCCAGACUCCGACGGGAGGAAGCAGUGAGGGAUAUUGCACACUGGGCGAGAGCGGGAUGCAGCGACGCCGCAUGGGGGAUGAAGACUUGCGGGUUGUAAACCUCUUUCGAAAUCGAACGGGUAGGUGGAGGAGGAGCGCCAGCGAAAUACGUGCGAGCAGCCGCGGUAAUAC